rnacentral:rRNA from 1 species
AGUAACGAUAAAGCGGGUGAAAAGCCCGCUCGCCGGAAGACCAAGGGUUCCUGUCCAACGUUAAUCGGGGCAGGGUGAGUCGACCCCUAAGGCGAGGCCGAAAGGCGUAGUCGAUGGGAAACAGGUUAAUAUUCCUGUACUUGGUGUUACUGCGAAGGGGGGACGGAGAAGGCUAUGUUGGCCGGGCGACGGUUGUCCCGGUUUAAGCGUGUAGGCUGGUUUUCCAGGCAAAUCCGGAAAAUCAAGGCUGAGGCGUGAUGACGAGGCACUACGGUGCUGAAGCAACAAAUGCCCUGCUUCCAGGAAAAGCCUCUAAGCAUCAGGUAACAUCAAAUCGUACCCCAAACCGACACAGGUGGUCAGGUAGAGAAUACCAAGGCGCUUGAGAGAACUCGGGUGAAGGAACUAGGCAAAAUGGUGCCGUAACUUCGGGAGAAGGCACGCUGAUAUGUAGGUGAAGUCCCUCGCGGAUGGAGCUGAAAUCAGUCGAAGAUACCAGCUGGCUGCAACUGUUUAUUAAAAACACAGCACUGUGCAAACACGAAAGUGGACGUAUACGGUGUGACGCCUGCCCGGUGCCGGAAGGUUAAUUGAUGGGGUCAGCGCAAGCGAAGCUCUUGAUCGAAGCCCCGGUAAACGGCGGCCGUAACUAUAACGGUCCUAAGGUAGCGAAAUUCCUUGUCGGGUAAGUUCCGACCUGCACGAAUGGCGUAAUGAUGGCCAGGCUGUCUCCACCCGAGACUCAGUGAAAUUGAACUCGCUGUGAAGAUGCAGUGUACCCGCGGCAAGACGGAAAGACCCCGUGAACCUUUACUAUAGCUUGACACUGAACAUUGAGCCUUGAUGUGUAGGAUAGGUGGGAGGCUUUGAAGUGUGGACGCCAGUCUGCAUGGAGCCGGCCUUGAAAUACCACCCUUUAAUGUUUGAUGUUCUAACGUUGACCCGUUAUCCGGGUUGCGGACAGUGUCUGGUGGGUAGUUUGACUGGGGCGGUCUCCUCCUAAAGAGUAACGGAGGAGCACGAAGGUUGGCUAAUCCUGGUCGGACAUCAGGAGGUUAGUGCAAUGGCAUAAGCCAGCUUGACUGCGAGCGUGACGGCGCGAGCAGGUGCGAAAGCAGGUCAUAGUGAUCCGGUGGUUCUGAAUGGAAGGGCCAUCGCUCAACGGAUAAAAGGUACUCCGGGGAUAACAGGCUGAUACCGCCCAAGAGUUCAUAUCGACGGCGGUGUUUGGCACCUCGAUGUCGGCUCAUCACAUCCUGGGGCUGAAGUAGGUCCCAAGGGUAUGGCUGUUCGCCAUUUAAAGUGGUACGCGAGCUGGGUUUAGAACGUCGUGAGACAGUUCGGUCCCUAUCUGCCGUGGGCGCUGGAGAACUGAGGGGGGCUGCUCCUAGUACGAGAGGACCGGAGUGGACGCAUCACUGGUGUUCGGGUUGUCAUGCCAAUGGCACUGCCCGGUAGCUAAAUGCGGAAGAGAUAAGUGCUGAAAGCAUCUAAGCACGAAACUUGCCCCGAGAUGAGUUCUCCCUGACUCCUUGAGAGUCCUGAAGGAACGUUGAAGACGACGACGUUGAUAGGCCGGGUGUGUAAGCGCAGCGAUGCGUUGAGCUAACCGGUACUAAUGAACCGUGAGGCUUAACCUUACAACGCCGAAGGUGUUU